rnacentral:lncRNA from 1 species
AUUUUCAAUUUCCUUUUUCUUCUUUUAUUAAUUGAAAACGAAUGGUUCAUAAUUAGGUCAAGUUAGAUCUUUCAAAGAUAAAUAUAUGCAAUUUCGAGAGAGACUGUUUCAUUUUUCUCUACGAAUUACUCCCUCCUCUACUUUAUCAACAACAGAAAUUUUAAUUUGCAAACUUUACGGAUCAAAUUCUCUUCUGAGAGAGAUUCGCAGCAGCGGGGUUUAUAACAACAACAACAACAAUAAAAUUUCUCCAACACGUUUUAUAAUCGAUCCUCAUUUCAAUUAUCACCAUGAUAAAUUUUUGUUCUACGUAAAUUAGAUUUAUAUUUUAUUUUCUCUAUUCCCUCAUCGUUUCUGUUAUUCAUCAGAGACUCUGUUCGGUUGAGCAAUACGUAUGAUUUAUGUGGCAGUUCUAUUAUAAAGGAUGUAAAAUCACAAAUGUAAUGAGGUUAUAAUUCUAUUUCCUGGUAGAAAUAAGAAUAAUUUAAGUUCGGUUUUUGAUUUAAACGCGACUUCUUCCGUUCUAAAUAAUUAAUUAAUAAUUUACGCAGAUCUUGGCAAAAAUCUAGAGAGAUUUUAAUCUUCUAUCCAUCCAAAAUACAGGAUUCCCUUUAGAAGAAAAAAAAAUUACGUUUGUUUUAAUCUUUUCAUUAAUUUAU